CAAAGCUCAGACAGAUGAGCGGCAUACACAUAAAGGAGCAUAAGCAGAGGAAGAAUCCCUCAUCUUCCCUCUGCGUUUUACUCUUGGGCCAAUUGUCAUUUUUCUCAUAAUUGAUCGGAAUAGAAAAUGAUGCCUUCUUUGGUUACAGUUCGUCCGAUUCCCUCAAUUUGAGUAAUUUUGCCGAUCAAAGACUCAAACUUUCUCUCUCGAGAUUAUCGGUUUCAGUUCCUAGAAAUGGGUUGUCUUUCAAGCGUCUCUACAUUCUGAUUUUUCGAGCAUAGUGUUCUCAGCUGAGUCCCUACGUAUGGGUAAUGAAGAAGACACAGUACUAUUUGAUCGACACUAGUGUAGUUCUAGCAGGUGCCGUUGUCUCUGAGUUACAUAAGGGAAACUGGACUAUAACAAAUACUAACCCUUAUUCUUUACUAGUAUGAUUCGAAGGCAUGAUAAUGUGUCUGGUGGAUCAUGAAGAAAUUAACGCGUACUUGUUGAGCUUCAAGGAUCCAGGAGGACUUGAUGUGCAAUUUAUCUACGACGGACUUCGUGUGCCUGUAAAUCUCUAGCCACCCUUUCUCUGUCAGGUUCCAAUGAUCCCAUCUCUGUAGACUACAAUGCCAGACUUGGCAAUUAAGUGAUAGAGGGAUCAUUACAUUGAUGUGAUCUUAAUUAAACGAGAUUAUUGUCAUUUGGCACUUAGCUUUGGCUGUUGGCACCAUCAAUAUUGGAAGAUUUCCUUUUCAUCC